rnacentral:rRNA from 1 species
UACGUAGGGGGCAAGCGUUGUCCGGAUUUAUUGGGCGUAAAGAGCGUGUAGGCGGUUUGGUAGGUCCGCUGUGAAAACUCGAGGCUCAACCUCGAGACGCCGGUGGAAACCAUCAGACUAGAGUCCGGAAGAGGAGAGUGGAAUUCCUGGUGUAGCGGUGAAAUGCGCAGAUAUCAGGAGGAACACCGAUGGCGAAGGCAGGUCUCUGGGCCACUACUGACGCUGAGAAGCGAAAGCAUGGGGAGCAAACAGG